CAGCAGUAGCCGCGGUAAUACGAAGGGGGCUAGCGUUGUUCGGAUUUACUGGGCGUAAAGCGCACGUAGGCGGAUCGAUCAGUCAGGGGUGAAAUCCCAGAGCUCAACUCUGGAACUGCCUUUGAUACUGUCGAUCUGGAGUAUGGAAGAGGUGAGUGGAAUUCCGAGUGUAGAGGUGAAAUUCGUAGAUAUUCGGAGGAACACCAGUGGCGAAGGCGGCUCACUGGUCCAUUACUGACGCUGAGGUGCGAAAGCGUGGGGAGCAAACAGGAUUAGAUACCCGGGUAGUCCCUGUCUCUUAUAC
rnacentral:rRNA from 1 species